AUGGAAGACAUUGUGGAUCAAUUUAUUUAUGUUGUUAGUAAAUACCAUCAGGAAGGAUCAUGGUGGGUUUAUGUAAACAAAAUCAUAAAGAAACCCCGAUCUCUGUUUACACUAGAUGAAAUUGCUAUGGCACUUAAGAGAAUAAAUCUAGAGCUUACACAGCUUAAACAAAAUAGAGACUGGACUCAACAAAUCUCUGUUAUGAGUGAUGUUCCUACAAUAAAUUAUGACAGCCAACAUCAAUUGUAUCUUCCUGGACAUGAUUACUCAAUCUCUGAUGAUGAACUUGUAGGACUUGGUAAAAAUAGAGAAACCUGGAUGAAGUCACUGAGUUUGGCAGAAUGUUCUCAUCUGCAGAUCACUGCUGUGUGGGGUAUGGGUGGCAUUGGGAAAAGUACUCUAGUCAACAAUGUGUUUAGAAACGAAGCAUCCAAUUUUGAGUGUCAUGCAUGGGUUUCCGUCUCUCAGUCAUAUAAACUAGAUGAUAUUUGGAGAACUAUGUUAAAAGAAAUCUAUUCUGAAGACAAGUUUGAUAUUGCAAAGAUGAGCAGUGCAGAGCUACAAGUGCAAUUGAAGAAAAUCUUAGAGACAAAGCGAUACUUGAUCAUAUUGGAUGAUGUAUGGACUGCUGAAGAUCUCUUUAAAAUUAAAGAGGUCCUUGUUGAUAAGGGCAUGGGAAGCAGAGUAAUAGUCACAACAAGAACUGAGGAAGUAGCUUCAAUAGCUGAUGAUAGCUACAAGAUCAAAGUUGAGCCUCUUGAGGAGGAGGAUGCAUGGCACCUAUUUUGCAGCAAGGCAUUUCCCAGAAUUAAAAAUCACAUCUGCCCAAAAGCAUUACAAGAGUGUGGUAAAUCGAUAGUGGAGAAGUGUGAUGGUUUACCAUUAGCUCUUGUGGCCAUAGGGAGUAUAUUGUCUCUUAAAUCGCUGAAUGUUACAGAGUGGCGGCUAUUUCUGGAUCAACUUAUCUGGGAGCUACACAACAAUGAGAACCUAAAUCGCGUGAAGAAAAUUCUGAAUCUAAGCUACAAAUACUUGCCCGACUAUUUGAAAAGUUGUUUCUUGUAUUGUGCCAUGUUUCCAGAAGACCACAUGAUCCAUAGAAAAAAAUUGAUUAGACUGUGGGUCGCUGAAGGAUUUAUUGAACAAAUUGGAGAUUGUAGUUUAGAAGAUGUUGCUGAAGGUUACCUUACAGAACUUGUUCGAUGA
rnacentral:rRNA from 1 species